UUUCCCGCGGCACAGAAGCCCUAACUCCCUUCUCCGUUCCUUUUCUUCAUUUUUCCCCUCGCGCCGGUUCCCUCUCCCAAACUCGAUCCUCUCCUCUUCAUCGUGCGCACGCCCACACCCUCUGAUGCCAGCGACGAGAGUCGAUUCCUCUCCUCUGGACGACGCGACGCCGACCCCUGAUCCACCGGCAUCAACCCUAGUGCCGGCCUCUCCUCCUCCUUCCCGAGCCGCACCAGGCGUCGUCACCAUCUGAGGUCGGUCGGAGCAGUGCCGACCACUAUCUCUUCAGUUUUGCCCUGGAUUUGGUCCACGAUGCCUCUGCCCUAGUGUCGGCUGCCGCCUCUUUGCCCUAGUCGACGCCACCACUACCGUCUCCCUCUGCCCUAGCCUCAGCUGACGCCCCACUCCCGACGCCAACAGUCACCACCAAGCCCUAACUGUUGAUUCUCCUCCGACACCUUCUGCUAUAGCUCCGGCAAAUCUUUUCUCUGCCCUAGCUGCGAAUCUUGGAGAGCAUCUUGUUGCUAUACAGUGAUCUUGGAGUGGCUACAUUGGUUAUAGGCAGAGAGGAGGUGAUCAAUGUGAACUUGGAAUAAGCGCCAACUUUUGAUUCGGCAGCAAUAUUGUUUGUUUGGUGGAUCAACAGCAGUGACUUGGAGAAGAGGUGAUUCUUGGUAGCUGUCGGUGGAGGUUUAUAAGGUUGUAAGCUUUCUAUCUAGGUUAUAUUCUAAGCCUUUGUAGCUUGACUGACAUUGUUCACUGGCGAUCCACAGCACCGGUCAUUUUGUUUUGGGCAGGGAAACCCUUGACCGUGAGCCAUCAGCGAUCAUCCUAGAUUUGGGACUCUGAUUCGAGACGAGCAUCUCAACGUUAGAUUUGACUCGAUUGGACUUGCUAUUGGAGGUGGGUACCUCUUGACUUAUCUUUUAUGAUAUUAUCAAUUGGA